GGUAAAUAAGUUGAGAGGGAAUGGAAUGUAAAUACACAUGAAAAAAUGUGUGGGGUAAAGGUUGGCUUUAAACCUCAUAUAGUCAUCUGGUCUUAUUAGGGUGCAAGAUCCGGCUGACCGGCAGGAGCGGAGCGCACAGCACAAUGCUCCCCUAUAGCGAGUCACUCUUGUGUAGCGUGGCCAAGCUGUAGGACGGGGUAGAGGAGUUUCAGUAACCUUUACCCUGGUCUGACAGGAAAUACAUGCAGGCGGCGCCGAACCGCUUCCUGUCAGAACUGGGAGAAGUUCCUGAAGCUCCUCUACCCCGGCCCGUGGUUUACUCACUCUACACAGGGAGGGAGGUGAGGAGAUGCAUGGGGGGAGGUGGAAAGGGGGUAAUACGCACAGAGGAGAGAGGAAAUGUGACAUAUGGGGAUGGGGAGCUGGUGGAAUGAGACACAUGGGGAUCUGAGCAAAUGAGACACAUUUGAAGGGAAUGGGGGAAUGAGGCACAUUGGGAAUUUGGGGGAAUGAGACAUGUGAUGGCUGGGGGAAUAAGACACAUGAGGGAGUGAGGAAAUGAGAUACAUGGAAGGGAUGGGGGAAUGAGACACAUGGGGAGCUGGAGGACUGAGACACAUGGGGAGUGGGGGAAUGAGACACAUGUGGGGCUGGAGGAAUUAGGCAAAUGAGGGGGUGGGAGAAUGAGACACAUGGGGGCUGGGAUAAUUAGACACUUCUGGGGACUAGGGGAAUGAGACACAUGGAAGGGAUGGGGGAAUUGUGACACAUGGAGGGCUGGGGGACUGAGACACAUGGGGAGUGGAGGAAUGAGAU